AGCUGCUUUUUCUUGCUCCACAACCUCUUAGACCUUUUUUAUAGGGCCAAACCCACUCCACAUCGAAGUCAAAACCCUGAUCGAACUCCACAAAUGUCCUAGAUCGUCCGAUCACUUUCGCACGCUCUUUUGACGCUCGGUCGCAUAAAACAAUGCUUAUCAUGCAUGAAAUACUGCCAAGACCAUUUCAUCCAACCUGUGCACUCUACUGACCAU
rnacentral:lncRNA from 1 species